ACUGGCCCCACCUCCCAGGUUCAUAAGCUAAAGCCGCUUGGCUGUGGAAAAGAGCAGAGCACAAGAAAGCUACCAACCACAGACUGGGGUUGCUGCUCCCCUUCCGAGUCAGGCAAAACUAGGAGCAGGACUAUCAAGGGCUUAGGACAUCCGACUUUAGUCCAAUAAACACAGGAUCCUUAUGGGACAUCUUUCAGAGUCCACAGGAGGCCUCUGGGCGAAGGCUGCUAAGCCUGAAAAGAGCUGGUUCACAGCCACAGUUGAGGACAGCUUGGAGGGAGUGCCGGUCCACAACAGUGUGUUCUUGACAUGGAGAUUCAGCAGUGCUUGGAUACGAUCUAUAAGAAUAGUCUUAAGAUACAGUGGAACCCAAGUUUGUUACAGAAAAUCAGGACGGGGGAGCAAAGUCCCGGAGUGGAAAGGGGGAAGGGAAACGCAGUUGAGGCACUAGCUUCAGGAGGUGGGAGUUACAGUGCAGCUCAGGUCUCCUGACAGCCAGAGAGCGUGUCAGGAACGUCAGAGAAAAAGUCAUCGCUGUCAAGGGUAACUCUGAAGUCCCACAAGGCUUAACAGCCUUUUAAACUUACAGCAAGCAGUAGGUCACACAGUUCUUUUUAUUAAAAACAGAAACAAAAAAAAAAAAAAACCAAAACCAACUGUAAUCUUCCCCCAACACUUACCUUAAAAGAUGGUCAUCGCCCCUCAGAGACGGAAUCUGCACCGCUGUAACUUUUACUCUCUUCUUGACUGUCUUUGAUGCUGUAGGAAUUUUCUUUGACUUCAUAAAUUGAAGAGACACUGAACAAACUAACUUGGCUGCUUAGUCCCACUUGGGCACGCACAUACAGUAGGAUGUGAAGGCCACAAAUAGGAUCUGUGGUCAUAUGUAUGAAUGGUCACUCUCCUCCCAACUCCGUUGUAUUGAUGGAUAAGAUGGCCCAUCUGGCAAGAAGAACAACCAGAGGGAUCCUGCUUACUGCUGGGCAGGGUAAGUGUGGCAGACCUCCUCUUCCCUGCCUGAAAGGAAGACUAGCGACAAGGCAGAAGUUAUCUCGGGCUGUCAGGGGUGUCUUGGGGAAUAGGAGUCCCUAUUUCCAGUGCUGAAUAAGCUCACAGGCAUCCAGCUCCAAGAAAAUUUGAGAAGUUCCCCAGCACUCUGGUGAGUGAAGCCUUGUCCAGCAUCCUUGCAGCAAGACUUUUCAGCCAAACAUCAAAGAACACUACCCUCCUCUGGUGAAGACAGACGUCUGCCUCAACAUGUAAGGCUCUUCUCAACUGACAACAGAGAAGGGAGGACCUCAGAUGAAAACAUGCCCUUUAGUUUCCUGAAUAUAAAAGUUUGGUGGGGCAAGUGCCCUGCACCUGCAACGUAUCUGAAGCAAAAGUCACUAGUUUCCCUUUCUAGUUUGAAAUCCUUUCUAAAAAAAAUAAGCAAAUAAAUAUAAAAUU
rnacentral:lncRNA from 1 species